GUAUUUCUUCAGCACAUUUACUAAAAUUGGAAUGCUACUGAGAAAUUUAGCAUGGCCCUUGCACAAGAAUGACAUGCGAAUUUGUGACGCAUUCUCUCUCAUG